CAAAAUCGUAGAACAAAAUUUCCAAUGUCCUCUCGGCCAGCGAGCAAUGAGGCGGAACUUCAAAGACAAAAUCCUCGUCAAAUACUGAAAUUGCAGAGGAAAAAAAUUUAUUUAUCACCAAACAGAUUUAUUUUAAUUUUUGGCAAAUAAUAAAUGGAAACGCUCACCAGGAUUUAAAGUUCGCCUGUGAAUUCUCGUCUGCCAGACAUUAUUUUUAUCAGGAAGUAAUCGAAUUUUUGCAUAAGGAUCCGCCGUUUCGCUUAGAUCACGAGCUCGAAGAUCACGUGCCUGGAGAAAAAUGUUACCUCAAUUAAUUUAACAUUGAGAAUUCCAGAUGAGGCGUCGUAGACUAAACACAAUUCAAUUUCGCCUCGCGUUUCAUUUGCUGAUCUUGGACAGGAUAUUUCAUCGCUGUCGGCACUAUU